rnacentral:rRNA from 1 species
UACAGAGACUGCAAGCGUUAUUCGGAUUCACUGGGCGUAAAGGGUGCGCAGGCGGCCAAGUGUGUGAGGCGUGAAAGCCCGGGGCUUAACCCCGGAAUUGCACCUCAAACUACAUGGCUAGAGCAUUGGAGAGGGUAGCGGAAUUCACGGUGUAGCAGUGAAAUGCGUAGAUAUCGUGAGGAACACCAGAGGCGAAGGCGGCUACCUGGACAAUUGCUGACGCUCAGGCACGAAAGCCGUGGGGAGCAAAAAGGG